rnacentral:rRNA from 1 species
UACAGAGGUCCCGAGCGUUGUUCGGAUUCACUGGGCGUAAAGGGUGCGUAGGUGGUGAGGUAAGUCGGAUGUGAAAUCUCCGAGCUCAACUCGGAAAUGGCAUUGGAAACUACCUUGUUCGAGGGUUGGAGGGGGGACUGGAAUACUUGGUGGUAGCAGUGAAAUGACGUAGAUAUCAAGUGGAACACCAGUGGCGGAAGGCGAGUCCCUGGACAACUCCUGACACUGAGGCACGAAAGCUAGGGGAGCAAACAGG